rnacentral:rRNA from 1 species
AUGGGACCUGGACGAACAGUCCGGCCACCAAGAAAUGCCCCGCAAUCUCAAGGUCAACAUUCUGGGAGUACCUCAGCAUCAAAAUCCAGGAAGGUACGUGGGAUAAAUAAGGGAAAGGGCUUGGAGCGUUUGAUCAAAAGGGCAGGUCAUCCACUAAACUUGACCAUCUCCGAAGAGAGAAGACCUAUUGGAGAAAAUAAUGAAUUACUUUCCAGAGAGAUUGGACUUCUUACACGGUACCAUGCACCAUUCCAACGUGCCGGGUGGCAUAGUCUGACUGAGGAUGAUAAGGAGCCGUUGUAUGAACUUCUAAAGCUUAAGUUCAAUCUUGAUUUCACCCAAGAUCAUAUCAAAGGCUGUGUGGAUCUGCUAUUCUCUUCAAGCUACAAAAGUUUCCGUCACAAGUGUUAUGAACAUUAUGUAAAAUCUGGUGAUGAUGCUAGAAGCAAUCCAUAUCCUCCCCUUAUUGAUAAUAGAGUUGGAGACUGGAUUUGGCUCUGUGAUCAUUUUGAAACAGAAGAAUUUAAGAAAUGGUCCACAAUUGGGAAGGCUAACCGCUCAAACCUACCUUAUGUUCACAAGAAGGGAACAAAGUCAUUUGUAGCGGUUCAACAUGAAUUAAAUUGUGGCGAUAUCAGACUAUACAAGGAGUGUUACUCUAGUGAUAAGAAGGGAUGGGCAUCAGAAGAUGCCAGGAAUAAACAUAAGCAAAAGGAACCUAUAGAGGAGGGUGAAGUACCUUUAACAGAGCAACAGAUUUGCGAGCAUGUGCUAGGUAAGGCAUAG